rnacentral:rRNA from 1 species
AAAUUGAAGAGUUUGAUCAUGGCUCAGAUUGAACGCUGGCGGCAGGCCUAACACAUGCAAGUCGAACGGUAACAGGAAACAGCUUGCUGUUUCGCUGACGAGUGGCGGACGGGUGAGUAAUGUCUGGGAAACUGCCUGAUGGAGGGGGAUAACUACUGGAAACGGUAGCUAAUACCGCAUAACGUCGCAAGACCAAAGAGGGGGACCUUCGGGCCUCUUGCCAUCGGAUGUGCCCAGAUGGGAUUAGCUAGUAGGUGGGGUAACGGCUCACCUAGGCGACGAUCCCUAGCUGGUCUGAG